rfam:Alcanivorax sp. Nap_24 scaffold_159, whole genome shotgun sequence.
CCAACGCCGUCUGGAGAGAGGCUGCUCACGCAGUCCACCGAAGGGGCAAGCAGACCCGCUCUGUAAACUCUCAGGUAGCAGGACAGGGGGAGAGGC